CUGGGUGUGAAAGUGAGACGUGAAAUCACCCGAUCCCGCUCCGUGCUCGACAAGGGAGUCUCACGCCAUAUGUACUAGCUGACUAGGGAGACAUGGUCCACGCCCGCCC
rnacentral:rRNA from 1 species